rnacentral:pre_miRNA from 1 species
AAUGGGUAAAGUCGUUAGCGAGUUACCCUGUGAACCCGGGCUUUUGUAGACCUCUUCAGAGUCAGAAGCUCGUUUUUACAGGUUUUCUUGAAAAUGAUCAUUUCUCGU